UACGUAGGGGCCUAGCGUUGUCCGGAUUUAUUGGGCGUAAAGAGCUCGUAGGCGGUUCGGUAAGUCAGGUGUGAAAUCUCCACGCUCAACGUGGAGGCGCCACCUGAAACUGCCGUGACUCGAGUCCGGUAGGGGAGUGUGGAAUUCCCGGUGUAGCGGUGAAAUGCGCAGAUAUCAGGAGGAACACCGGUGGCGAAGGCGGCAUCCUGGACCAAUAUUGACGCUGAGGAGCGAAAGCCAGGGGAGCAAACGGG
rnacentral:rRNA from 1 species